GGCCCCCUGGCCGAGUGGUUAGGCGCUUGGUUAUGUUCGUGUCGCCGCCCAUAUCAAUCUUCACGUUCUAUGCCUGAGAGAAGCCAGGUUCAAACCCUGGGGGGGGCCC